rnacentral:lncRNA from 1 species
CGCGUCCCGCAGUGUGAGGCCUCACGGAGCCUGCACGGGUGGGCGGGAAACAGUUUCCGGCCCAGGUGAAGGCAGGAUUGGAGCUGAUCUCACUUGAUUCCCAGCCGAAGAAUAACCUGUUUCCGGGCCGGGGAUUUAGCUCAGUGGUUCCGCCGCCUGCCUCACAGGCCCAAGGACCCAAGUUCGAUCCCCGGUAUCAAAAAAAAAAAAAAAAAAGAGUAACGUGUUUCCUCCCCUCCCCUCCGGUAUGAGUGCUGCAAGUUCUGCCUCGGGCGAAGUGUCUGUAAUUCCCACCAAAGACCUGGGGAGUUUCUGAGAUUCGUUCAGUGGCACACUAGUAGCUGAUGAGGAAGACCGGCCGAGACCUGAAACCAUCUAACUCCUACAGGACUUAAUCAAUCAGAAAAGCCCUCUGUGGAACAUGACAAUGCACAUCAAUCGCCUCAAUGUCAAUUCAUACUUCUGUGGCUUCCAGCAGCAUCAAACAGCCCACACUCCUGCCAAGGCUAGUCCAAUUUAAAACUGAGCAAAUUAUACACUGAGCCAUGCCCAUUAGUUUUUUGUAUCCAUCUCUGACUGUUCAGCACCUUCCCCCUCUUUUCAAAUUUGUGCCCACACACGGGGAAAAACAUUUUUAUCAUUUGAAAGAUUUGAAGAGAACCUUUCAUCUCCUAUUUUUUAAAAACUUAUGUUCAAACAUUUUGAAUGUAAUGUGCAUAAUAUUAAGAUAAAAUAUUACACAAGAAUCAAAGAAAAUAUUAAAGAAAUCGACACUCCCACCAUUGCUGGAAGAGGUGAAUCCAAGUUGGAUGGCCACAUGAUUGGAAUGACCAUUGGCUCUGGAUAUAAAGAAGACAAGUCAACACCC